AUUAUUAUUAAGUUCCUAGCCUGGGAACCUCCAUAUGCCAUAGGAGCAGCCCUAGAAAAGGUGAAAAAAAAAAAGAAGAAGUGGAAUGUCAGCUUCAUUAAAAUCUCGAUAAACUCUCUCAGGUCUUAGAGUUGUCACUUGAGAGAUCUACCACUCUUUUCUUAGCCAUCUGAUAUUAUAAAUUAGUGACAAAGACCAUUGGGUUCAAUUAAUGUUCAGGCUAUGUGACAACAAAUUAGUUUACCUUUUCAACACAAGUGUGACGCAUUUGCCAAAUUACAGGUGUCAUGUAAACAUAGCUCUUCCUUAAUAGACUUCUGGGCAAAUCCUGUUGCCUGGGAAUGGGAUUUGAGGUGUUCACGGAGUUACUCAUCUUCAGUUUGGAGGAACAUAAAGCUCAGUUUCCAAAAUGGUGGGGCACUUUGAUGGCUAAAAGUACUCGUUUAUAAUGAGUGAUAACCUGCUUCCACAUAGCUUCCACUUCUUACUUCUACGCCUUCCCUUUGGUGAUUUUGUUACCAAACUCAAGUCUGGGUGCUUGCCACUUGAAAGCCAAUACUUGAGAAACAAGUGCUGGCAUGAAAGGAAAGGUUGCUUUAUUCAGGAGGCCAGCAACUUGGGGAGAAGCUGGACUCAUGUCCCAAAGAACCAACUCCCCACUGCUGAUCAAGGGGCAAGAGCUUUUCAAGGGGAGUUUCAGGGAUGUAUAGGUGGAGGGAGGACCUACAUGCAGAAUGUCACAGUCAGCUCCCACAGUCAUCCUGAAAUUGGUUAUGCAGUGGUCUGCUCAGCAUCAUCUUGAUUGUUUUAAGUACACUCAGUCUUCAGUUCCAAGGUCGGUUUAUUUCCAUUUCCUUGAGGUCAGUUUACAGAAAGAACUAUGUAAAAUGGAGCAGUUUAGGUCAUGGCUACAGUCUGGUCAUCUUGCAGUUAACUCCUUCUACCUGGUGGGGGUUUCAGUAUCUGCAAAAUGGCUCAAAAAAGACAGGGCUCAGAAUAUUUUCUAUAGUCCUUGAAGAGGAAUUAAAGGCCCUUGAUUUUGUUUAAUGGCUAAACUCUUAUUAUUUUGUCUUACUUCACUAUUUUCCCUUUUUCCUGAAUUUUCUCUUUCUCUGAUUAAAUUUAUUCUUUGACUAAAGUUUUUCUGCAGGCAGGAGGUGGGUGGAGGACCUGGGGGUAGUCUGCCUUGGGAAAGUCCCAUAGUGUCCUGCCUUGUUCAACUUAAAGUAGCCUCCUCUCCCACCUUGCAUCCCUUGAAAUACUUGAAGAGAGCCACUAGGUUCCACUCUAUGUCUGUUCAUUUUCAUGUGACACACCCUCUGGCCCUCAGUGAAUCAUUUGCAUAAAGUGGUUUCUAGACUCUUCAUCACGAAACCUGGUUCCUGAAUCGAUGCUAGUUGGCUGACAGUUGCUACUGGGAACCCUAUAUACAUAGGAUACAAUGCUUCCUGCAACUGAAAGCACCUUCCUGCACAUAAGAACCUUCUAUUCCUUCAUUCAUGGGUAAGAAUCCCCUCUGCAAACAUGGUGACCAGGAGCUGGGAAACAGGUGGGAAACAACUGCCACUUUUCAUUUCUUCUGAGGGCCUGGUCACAGCACUGACUCUUAUUUGAGACAACAUCAGCCUCAGGCUUUUGGUUUUGUUAAAUUCUGUCACAACAGACCUCUCUCACUUUAUCCUUGAACUCGGAUGGUCGUCUUGUCCAUAUGAACCACCUGCAGCUCCUUUUCCUCUCUUGCCCUCAAGGUGGCUGCCCUUGUCUCCUGGUCCUAAUUAUUUCCUUAAGAGGGAGGAAUUGGCUUUCCAGGGACAGGGGUGGCCUGUGUGUGCAUGUACAAACAUUUUCUAAAGCUAUACAGUUUUCCAUUUGCACAAUUUCUUUCUCAAAUAUUCUCGGAAUUAUGCAACAAAACAACCAAGCUCUUUCCCAAACUGUGCCAGCUCUGUUUGCAUCCAUCUUUUCUUGGUUUAACUUUGAUUAUUUAUGCAUGCAUAGUAUGUACUGCUGUGAACAAAAUAACUUCUUAUUUUGUAGAAGCUUAAGGUAGAUAACUCUUUGAUGUACACUGGUAAGCUAUUCUAAUCCUUGCCAUCACUGUAUUAACUAUCAACUCUUUUAAUAUUCACUCCUUUUGGAAAUCAGCACAAUUGAUCUCGUGAAGAUCUAAGUAAAUCUUGGAUUUGCUAUUAGAAUAAAUUGAUGCACAUCUUUUUAAGGAUAUUUAUAAUACUAUUAAUGCUUUCAUAAUAGUAGCAACUCAUUUGCAGUGUCAAAGAUGUGCAAUUUAUUCACAUAAAGGGUUUAAAAUUCUGUUGGGGAAGUGUUGCCCUUUGUUUGUUAUUUCCAGCAGAACUUCAAUUGUUGUAUAGAAAACGUCCCGUGAGCGAAUUGUGUACAAAAAACAGUGAUUUUCUUAUUUGUGUGCUUUGAGAAUUGAAAGGAAAUUUCAUACAUUACAACAGUGAAUCAGUUAUUCAGAAUUCUGUGAAUUAUGCUGGCCAUUCUUCCUGUUAGACUGGGGUGAAUAUUGAAAGGAGAUGCUCUGCAGCCACGUCCACAGCAGCCAGUUGAUGAUGGCUCUCCUUCCUGGUGUACGUAGUGUUCUACCGCUUUGUUGAGAUUUAACCAUGCCCCAGAACAACCAAUGAAGCAGUCACCAUGGGAACCCUCUGGGUGGCUGUCCACAGGUUCUCUAAGUGCUUCUCACCACCUGCCAGUCCAACCCCAUCCAGUAUGGCACCUGCCAUGCCUUUAGGUCUUGCUCAGUGUAUUUGGUAAUCAAGGUCCUUCUCCCCAGAGCUCUGAAGCUGGGACAGUACCUGCUGUUUGCGAAGGGGGCUGGCUGCCUCCUGGCUGAGCAUCAUCAGCUGACUGAUAGCCUCCGGCCAUCUACAUCGAGGGCCGUGGGCUUCUGAACACCUGCCACUGGAAGCCUGCCUCCUGCCUGCAACCUCACUUGCAUCCUGUCUUGUUCACCUGAUCCCAGAGCCGUUUCUCAGAGACAUGUGUUUCCUCUACUUACAGAGGGGUCUGGGGUUCCCUGGAUCACCCUGACAGGGAGCUGCUCCAUCCCUCUUUCCCUGCUCCCCAAGACAUCCCCUCUCAUUCCCAAAGGUGAGUUCAGAGAGGAAAACAUUUAUUCGCUAUGAACAGACUUCAUAAUGGAAGCGGAGGGAAGGGCGCAUCCCCAGGCAAUUUAGGAAAAGAAGGGAGGCAGAAAAGCAAUUGGCCUCAGUUGUUAAGGCCCAGCCUCAGGUGCGACCUGGGAAGUCCUGGGUGAUGGUGCUGGUCUGCUUCCACAGAAGGAUGUUUCAUGCUCCAGAUGGAAGAACAAGAAAGACCUAGAAAGACGUUUGAAUAUUACUGGUCAAGGAUAAGAGAAUACCAAUAACCAUGCCUUAGGAGCUCUCAAAUGUAUCCAUUGGAGUGUUUUCUCCAACUCCAUAUGGUCCACUUAGAAGUGGAGUAUACUCUGCAGAGUCUGGGUUCCCUCUGCAAAGACUCAGAUAUGUGUAAAGCCCAGCAAAUCCACCUGGCCCAACAGUCAUUUUCAUUGUGAUGGGAGGCUCUGAAAUCUUAACCUACAGCCUUGUGGAUUAUUUGAAGUUGCAAACACAUACUUUCUUUUUAAGUCUGAAGACCCAUCAAGCACACAGUCGAAACUGAGAGCUCCAUGCAUGUCCUUUGCUGGGCCUGGAGGUGGUGCGUGGUUGUCUGUGCCAGGCCAGAGUCCUUCCGCGUGGGUACUGCACACGCCUGCAUAAGCCCACCACUGUCUCUCGUCCUCUAGAUCAACUCCCUCCCGUUCAUCUUUUAUGCUUCAUCCAGAACUUCACCCAAUCAGAAAUUCAAAAACUAGAGAAAGAGCUAAGUUUAUACAACACUAACAUUUUUUUUUUCUUUUUGGUCUUUUUAGGGCUGCACCUGUGACACAUGGAAAUUCCCAGGCUAGGGGUCGAAUCAGAGCUACAGUUGCUGGCCUACACCACAGCUCACAACAAUGCCGGAUCCUUAACCCACUGAGCGAGGCCAGGAAUCAAACCUGCAUCCUCAUGGAUGCUAGUUAGGUUACCGCCGAGCAGCAAGGAGAACUCCAUGCAAUACUAACAGCUUCAACUAAUGUACCAGAGUAGGACUCCAAUCACGUCCUUUACUGGAAAUCAAUUCAAGGGAUGUGGGCAGUGUGUUUCUUACAGGCCUGCGAGCUCACCCCUUUCCGCGUCUCCUUCGUACCAUCAGCUGGGCCCUGCUGCGUGUUCCACACAUUUAGUGAGUGAAACUACUCACAGGAGGAGUAAUGAAAACCCACAAAUCACCGGGCCAUGUGGAUUCGUCUUUAACUUUUUUACCCAAUUAUAUUUGCAUCAUAUAAGGCAAAAACAAAGAAUCUCAAAUAAAGGAAAACAAUGUCCUACAUUUGUACUCACCUUUAGGAAAAACGAGCUCUCUCUUAGUAAUAACCUCUACUUCACACUACAGUGGAGGAGAAUUCCUGAAAUAAUAAUGGCCUGACCAAAAUAACCACAAAAAGUGUUGUUUCUGAGUUGCUGUGUUUGGAACCUGACCCCCACAGGAGCCUGUGGCAGGAGUCUUACUUGCCUGAGGAUUGGGAGAUGAGACUCAGCACGGCAGAGACUUGGACCUAAGAGUCUUUAUUCAGUUCACGACUGUCCUAUAGAGACAGCCCAGCUGUGAUGGGACACACGGCCAAAGGGAGAGGAAAAGCAGUGCUGUGCUCCCUCCUGGUCCCAAGAUCCCUUCUGAUGCAAAGCCAGGACCUGGCAAAAACCACACAAGCGAGCUCUCCCUGGGGGGCCGUCCCGGGCCUCAGCUGACGUCGUUGGCUCAGGCUUAUGCUCUCAUUCGCCUUCGUCACGUCGAGACAGACACUGCCCCCGCGCAUCCGAGCGCCUGGCUUGCUGGAAGCUCAUUAGCUCGGUGCCGCUUCAGUGGUUCGAGUUAUCGCGGUCAAAGCAGACGUCGGCUUCUGCUGGGGAGCAUUUCUCCACCAGCAAGAGGAGUUGUGUGUUGGGGGGGAGGAAACCGCUACGCAAAACUGGCCUAGACAGAAGCAGCUGACCCUUUCUCUUUGGCAUCACCCAGGACCCAGAAAUGGGAAGUUGGAGGGAAAGCCAUGGAUUCUCUACCCUAUGAGCUCUGGACACAUUUUGCACAUAUCUUUUUAUAUUGACAAGUGAAUUGUAGUUUGGAUCUAUUUGUGUUUUUGUCAGUUCUUUCAAAAUCGAUCUGAGGUUGCAACCGUGUUUAAAAUGAACCGUCACGGGAUAAAUUAAGAGAAGGCAGAGAAGACGGUCAAAACCCCGAGGGUCCCCGCGGCAGGAGAGCUGCCUUGCUGAGCCCCCAGGCCCAGCCUCCGGUGGGGCGGUAGGACCUCGAUGUCCCAGGGCUACUUAGCUGUGGCCAUUUCCUCCGUCUGCUUCGAGGUGAGAAGUACUGGGAAGCUCUGGUUUAGAGCAGAGCACUGAUGCUGCCUAGACCCUAAAAGCUUGAUCCACUGACGAACCAUGAGGGGACUGCUCUAAAGUGGGUGGUCGUUCUGAGCAGGGGAGCCCAGGGAGUGCAAAGAACUGGGGACAGCCCCUGGGCACCUUCAGAACAUCUGGUCUCUGCAGCUCUUCAGAGCCCCCGAAAGGCUGCACACUCCUCAAAAGAGGGCUCAGGCCCCCUGCACAGGCCCGAGGCCCAAGCUCUGUCUGCAGAAGGCCUGGGCCUCCCAUUUGGUCGCGUGUCCUCUUCCUAUCUCUUCGUGCGUGGGCCCGGUUCGUGGGAACAGCAUCAGCCCGCAGCCCACCUCGUCCUUAGAGGCCAGACCACAGUAACAGCAGAUCUCAACGCUCAUCAGCACUGCUUUGGUGACAACAUUCUUGACUGAGGGAGGGAGCCAAGGGUCUGCAGGACCCAGAACGCCAGGGCUUGGUGCACCUUCGCCCCUUCACAUGGCUGGUGCCACGUUCACACAGGCCUCACGCACACCCGUCCAUACCUCAGAAGUGUCCCCUAAUUGUGAACAGACUCUGAGACAACCAGGCCACCUUCUCUACCCGAGGCACAGUCAGAAUCCAGUCCCAGCUGUGUCUGUGUCUUAUUUUUGCCUCGGCAACCCACAACAGCCCACCCUGACUCUUACUUGGCACCUUUCUGCUCUAGAUUGAGUGUGUGUGCCCCCUAAAUUCAACUGUUGAAACCUAAACCCCGAGGUGAUGGUGUCAGGAGGUGGGGCCUUUGGGAGGUGAUGCCGUCGUGAUGGAGGAGCCCCGGGAUGGGAUCAGUAUCCUUACAAAAGAGCCCAGACAGCGCCCUCAUCCCUUCCCCAGGUGAGGACCCAGCGAGAUGUGUCUGUGAAGCAGGAGGCAGGUGCUCCCCGGACAUCAAAUCCACGUGUUCCUUGAUCGUGGACUUCCAGAGCCCAGAACUGUGACACGAUGCUGGCUGUCCAUAAGCCACCCCCGCUGUGCUCUUCUGCAGUCAUGUUCUGCAGCAGCCCCAAAGGACUAAGGCGGUUUCUAUCUGGAUGUUUCCAAUACUGAACUCAACAUGGAACAUGACUGAACAGCCACUCCUCUGCAGGGACGCAGAUACACUUCCGUCCUCCUUGCAUCCACAGCACUGUGAAGGCGCUUUGUUUAUCACCUUGCCCCGGACAUUCUAGUGAAACUUUUAUGCGCCAUUUUACACAAUCAACUACGGCGUUCUUGGGCAUUCACUCUUUAUUUUUAAUUCCGGGCCUUUAGUAUGGCUCCCGCUGUGUAAGCACUCAUGGAAUUUUUGUCAAAUGGAAACAUCUAUCAGUAAAUGUUGUUCUCUUCUUAACUGCCCUUUGACAGAAACUGCUAGCAUUUGCGGCUGUCCGACCAUCUGCAGGGCCUAGUUCCAACGGCCCUUCAUCUGUUGGCGUUGAUCCGCACCGUAGCUGUGGGAGUAAGAAGCUACUAUUCUUCCCAUUUUACAGACAGGAAGAUCCCCGGGUCCCGGAGACAGCGGCUACACCGCACAGGGCAGACGACCCGACUCCAACUGAACAGGUACGGCUGAAAGAGACCUCACGUGCCCUGGGUGGCACUGCACUGACCGACAGCUCUCAUCCCACAUUUGCCUGAACCCAGAGAAUGACAACGCCAAGAGCGAGCCCUGCUGCAGACCGUGGACUCUGGUCGUCUGGAACCUCCAGAGACAGCUGUAAGAAAAUGAAUUGACUUUUGCUCAAAACACAGAAAUCCUCAGAACCAAAAAUAAUCCCAGGAAGGAAAUAAAAUACAAGACACGCAGAACUCCGCAACGAUGGAGUAAUAACAGUAAAGACGACAGCGACACUCGGAGUCUGGAAGGCCUAACCUUGACCUGUGGGUAAUGUCGUCUGGGCAGCUUAACAUGCCCUCAAGCUACUGCUGAGAUCAUUUCAAACUGGCAGUCUGAAGCAUCGGGACUGAAUUCUCUUGGUUAAAAACAUUCCAUUUUUCUUACUCAAAAAGAGAAACAUCAAAUUCAUGUCAGGAAUACUGUGGCUGGGCCAAAACAGAACUUGGGGAAAAAUUAAAAGUCCUUUAAAAUACUAUGCUUCCAUGUCAGCUUAGUACAAUAUUUUGAACUUUGUAUUUCUAAUUCUGGAUGACUUAACUCGGCCUUAGGCAUUUCUGUUAUUUGAUUCCUAGUACUGCCUAGAUCCAAUACUCUGAUUUCUGAUCUUAUACACCUUUUCAAACUGCUUUCUUUCACAAUAUUUUACCUAUAUUUCAAGACCUCAUUAAAAUUUUACUUCUUCCGAGACUUUCCCGACCCCACCACUGUUUCCGUCAUUUCCACUGCAUUCGUCAGGCGCAGGAACAGGCGAAUUCUAACAGAUAUACUGGAGGUAAGAUAUAUCUGGUCCUCCCUCUGGAUAGGUGGGCUACUCUAAGGUAAAGCUGUUCUUCUGCAGAAUAGGCCUCUUUUCUGGGGCUGAUCUAAGGUAAGAAUGACAAUCAUGCCCUGUCCUCACAAUGCCUAGCACUUGCUAGACGUGAGACUUGCCGGACAGCUGUUUGGUCUCCAGAAGUGCAUCCUAAAUGUGCGACUGAGUGCAGGCUCCUCAGCUUCCUUGUGCUCUAGGCCUCCAAGCAGCUCCCCACCUACAUCGCUGUCCCCGACAGUCAGGCUGCAGCAGACUCUACUUCUGCACAUUCCCGCAAACUGCAGGCUUGUCCGAUUCCAGGUACAACACAGCCCUUCACAUAUACUGACUGGCCCUGCUACACAUUGUUACUGGCCCCGUGAGAGGCCGAGAAAUGGAGGCAGGAAGAGGACGCCAGUUUCUG